ensembl:lncRNA
GGAAGGGAAGGGAAGGGAAGGGAAGGGAAGGGAAGGGAAGGGAAGGGAAGGGAAGGGAAGGGAAGGGAAGGGAAGGGAAGGGAAGGGAAGGGAAGGGAAGGGAAGGGAAGGGAAGGGAAGGCAAGGCAAGGCAAGGCAAGGCAAGGCAAGGCAAGGCAAGGCAAGGAAAGGCAAGGAAAGGAAAGGAAAGGAAAGGGGUCCAGGAUAAUUUCUGCAUAUUGUAUAUGCAUAUUUACAGAGACAUAUGUACGCCUCUGAUACGUGUUCCAGACUCCGAGUGAAUUUACAACAACUGUACUUUACAAAGCAAAGGGGCUGGGCUGGUACAUGGGGCUGUGACAUACUGGCACUUCUCCCAGGCUGCCAACAUGUACAAUUGAAUCUCAUUUUCCAUUUCUGUUCCUCCUGUGAAAAAUAAGGCUUAAAAACAUUUAUUGAAGUGCAAACUGAUGCAGAGGUGUCUACCCACUGGCAGCCCAAACCAGAGUCGCUGAGGGAUGUGAACUGGCCUUUCAUUUCAGUAGCUGACUCAGAGGUUAUAUGGCAGUGCAGAAGUCAGUGCUAAGUGCUACUUUGCAAAAGGGUGGGGAAGAAUCCCAUCCAGAAGAUUUACACAUCCGUCUGAGUGGCCCUUUUGUUUUCAUGCAGAUGAAGCUACAUCUCCAUCUUCUUAAAGUCAUAAAUAGCAUCCCAACAUGCUAGUGGAUAUCCCCCCCAGCUGAUACUUAAUUUUUAUGCUAAGAUGUAAAGUCUAGAUUUCCAUUUGUUAUGCUGUUUGUACUCUUUUGGCCUCUAUUUAGUAUGACCUGCUUUUUUACCAGCUUUGAAUUAGAUUUUGUUACGGGUUAAAGUUCUCUUUACCAUAUUCCAAAUUAAACUUCUGUGCCUUUUCAGUCUGCAUACAUACUUUGUCAAGGAUGAUACAGAAGACAUUAAGGAGUUCAUUAAAAAAUAUGAUUAAUUAAUUUUAUUACAGUAGCACUUAGAAGCCCCUGCUGAGACAGGAGACCUAUUGCAGUGGGAACUGUAGGGACACAUAAAAGAGUGAGUUUCUGCUUCAAAGAGCCGAAAAUUGAACCAGAAAAGACAUGUUUCCCUUGGCUUCAAGGGAAACUGAAUAAGGGCUUUUGUGGUAUUCUUGAGGAAGCUGGAAGCCCCAUGUUUCAUAGAAACCUUUUUCAAAAUGGGAUCUACUGCUCUUUUUUUUUUUUUUUUUUUUUGUUAGCACUAUAGUUAUUUGAAAAUAUUCACACCUUUCAAAGAAGAGAAAAAGAAAAGGAGGAAGGAAAGAAUGGCCUCCCCUCCCUUAGCCCCUUUCUGCGGGUUCUGAUAGCAAAGGAGUUACAGAAAUGCAGCAUGAGAGGUGCAACAGUUAAAGACUGUGCUGUCUUCUACCACUAGGCUUGAGUCAAUUUUUCUUCAUUGUACAAUAAAAGUGAAAAAAGGAAGGGUGCAGAGCAGAAGUUUAGUGCCUUUGUUCGUGCAAAGGCAGAGAGAAAUCUGACUUGAGAAACAAGAGAUUCCAGCAAGCUGCUGAGUUCACAAAACAAAUCAUGGUUUGUGCUCAGAUUUAGCCUUCUAAUUCCCAAUUUCCUGCUCUGUGUCUGCUGGGAUGCCCCUCCGAGCUCUCUCCCACCAGCCUCACAGUCUGGGGAGAGGCUGGGCUGAAUGGGCAAGGUGGGUGCCGUGUGGUUGGUGCUGGGACAUGGCCUGACCUGCUGCUGGCUGCGUGUCCUCUCAGAGGUAGUGGCUUGGCUCCAGCUCCACAACUGCUCUCUGGCAACUUGUUCUGAUCUCCAGUGCCCUUAACCUUGCACUCAAUCACUAAACUUUGGCUGGAUUUUCACUCCCUCCUGGGGAGAUGCAGGCAGGGUUAGGGGCAAGUGAGGUCAGCCAGCAUCCUGACGGCCACCCCAUGCACCAGGGCUGCCUGCUAUGCCUUCUUGGUCUUCUGCUGCGGCCCAGUAGUGUAGUCCAAUGUAUGAAUUAAAUCUGAAGACAAAAUCAGGAAGAGCAUUACCGGCACAGGUGUAUGAGGCUGCCAGAGGAAGAAGGGAAGGUAGCCCUAUUAGGAUGAGUGGACUGUUUUGCCUCUUCGUUUGCUUUUCAAAUGCCUUAGAUGUUCUGCAGUCUCUGGCUUCUUGGUGUGUGCCUCAGUUUAAAUUUUCAUAGUACUCAUUUCGCCGCUUAGCCAUGUCAUGUUGUGUUACCCCGUAGCACCACGCAUCAAAACUUUAUAGUGGAACAAACACAACAAUCACUUUAAACUAAUGCUGCCCCUGUUUCAUUAUUCAGCGCAUUACAUCACAGGCUGCCAACAAAGAAGAUCCUGGAAUUACAUUUAAAGGCAUAUUUAUGUAAGGAGUGCAUGUUGCAGGGGGAAGUUUGUCAAUUUGGUGGCUUUUUUUUUGUGUGCACUCUUUUCUCCUCUUGGGAGAAGGAGUCCUUACUCAGUACAAGAAUAAGAGGGAGAGGCAGGCAUGAAUCAUCAAAGUGCUACCUCUUACUUGCAAAAUCUGGCUUUAAACUCUGCUUCUUUUGGUGGAGGAACGCUUGUAUCACCCUUAUGCUUAGUGUUGCCUCAUUUUACAACUCUAUUACGGUGUACGUUCUUAAACAGAACUGAGAAAAGGAGGCAGAUAGUCUUGGUGUAGUGGCUUUAUAUUAGUGUGAUUGUGCUAAAUAUUUUCGAUUAGUUGAUGUCCUGAUUUAGAAAAAAUGGCUUUUUUUUUUUUUCCCCACACAAAUACUGGGAGAACUACUGUGAAUGGCAGAAUUUGGCAAAUGUGGAGCACGCACGUGAGCACAGUAAUAAAAAGGCAAACUGAUGACAAUAUGAAGUCAUACCGAUCAUUCUCUUGGCACGUGUGGGUUUAGUGCUAAUGAUUUAUGAUACUUAAUACCAUGAUAACAAAUAUUCUUUGGUAUGCUUCGGGAAGGUAAUGAAAGUCUACUGCCAGGUUCUGACACCUUUACUUUGAAUCAUCCAUCAGUUAUCAUGUAUAGAGCUCCAUGGACUUAAGAAGGAGUAAUGUAUCUCUGAACAUGGCAAAAAGAGGAUCAGACUUUAGCUCUUAGGAAAAAACAACACAAAAAUUGGACAUAUAACUUGCAUGGGAUGAUUGUUUUAAUAAAAGCUUUUGCACUGAUGUUCUAUGGAAGCAAGAAAUAUAUCUGCUUUGAUUUUAAGAGGUGUCUUGCUGGAUGAGGUUAUCAAAAAGAACUCCAGUGGAGGACACAAAAGCAUUCAGAAAAGGCACAAUGAAUUUUGACUGCUUUUGAAUCUAUUUAUCAAAGCCAUUGCCAUUCCCAUUUCGACACAGGUGGAACAAUAAUAAAUACCGAA